rnacentral:rRNA from 1 species
GGGGAAUCUUCCGCAAUGGACGAAAGUCUGACGGAGCAACGCCGCGUGAGUGAUGACGGCCUUCGGGUUGUAAAGCUCUGUUAAUCGGGACGAAAGGCUUUCGUGCGAAUAGUUAGAAGGAUUGACGGUACCGGAAUAGAAAGCCACGGCUAACUACGUGCCAGCAGCCGCGGUAAUACGUAGGUGGCAAGCGUUGUCCGGAAUUAUUGGGCGUAAAGCGCGCGCAGGCGGAUUGGUCAGUCUGUCUUAAAAGUUCGGGGCUUAACCCCGUGAUGGGAUGGAAACUGCCAAUCUAGAGUAUCGGAGAGGAAAGUGGAAUUCCUAGUGUAGCGGUGAAAUGCGUAGAUAUUAGGAAGAACACCAGUGGCGAAGGCGACUUUCUGGACGAAAACUGACGCUGAGGCGCGAAAGCCAGGGGAGCGAACGGGAUUAGAUACCCCGGUAGUCCUGGCCGUAAACGAUGGGUACUAGGUGUAGGAGGUAUCGACCCCUUCUGUGCCGGAGUUAACGCAAUAAGUACCCCGCCUGGGGAGUACGACCGCAAGGUUG